UACGAAGGGGGCUAGCGUUGCUCGGAAUCACUGGGCGUAAAGCGCACGUAGGCGGCUUUCUAAGUCAGGGGUGAAAUCCUGGAGCUCAACUCCAGAACUGCCUUUGAUACUGAAGAUCUUGAGUCCGGGAGAGGUGAGUGGAACUGCGAGUGUAGAGGUGAAAUUCGUAGAUAUUCGCAAGAACACCAGUGGCGAAGGCGGCUCACUGGCCCGGUACUGACGCUGAGGCACGAAAGCGUGGGGAGCAAACAGG
rnacentral:rRNA from 1 species